rnacentral:pre_miRNA from 7 species
UAUUAUGUUGGUACAAAAGUAAUUGUGGUUUUUGCCAUUAAAAGGAAUGGCAAAACCCGCAAUUACUUUUGCAUCAACCUAAUA